rnacentral:rRNA from 1 species
AAGCUCGUAGUUGAAUUUCGGGAUCAAUGUUUCGGUCAUGCCGUUGGUAUGUACUGAUAUUAUUGAUUUCUCACCUUCUAAAGAACCGUAAUGCCAUUAAUUUGGUGUCACGGGGAAUUAGGACUGUUACCUUGAAAAAAUUAGAGUGUUUAAAGCAGGCUCACGCUGAAUACAUUAGCAUGGAAUAAUGAAAUAGGACAUCCGAUUCUAUUUUGUUGGUUUCUAGGAUCGAUGUAAUGAUUAAUAGGGAUAGUUGGG